GGUUGCGAUCAUACUCAGCACUAACGCACUGGAUCCCAUCAGAACUCCGCAGUUAAGCGUCCCUGGGCGAGAGUAGUACUAGGAUGGGUGACCUCCUGGGAAGUCCUUCGUGUUGCACCCC
rnacentral:rRNA from 1 species